UUUUUUUGCUAAGAGAUAUCG
rnacentral:piRNA from 1 species